rnacentral:rRNA from 1 species
UACAGGGGGGGCAAGCGUUGUUCGGAAUUAUUGGGCGUAAAGAGCUCGUAGGUGGCCUGUCGCGUCGGCUGUGAAAACUCGGGGCUCAACUCCGAGCUUGCAGUCGAUACGGGCAGGCUAGAGUUCGGCAGGGGAGACUGGAAUUCCUGGUGUAGCGGUGAAAUGCGCAGAUAUCAGGAGGAACACCGGUGGCGAAGGCGGGUCUCUGGGCCGAUACUGACACUGAGGAGCGAAAGCGUGGGGAGCGAACAGG